AGAGUUUGAUCCUGGCUCAGGAUGAACGCUGGCGGCGUGCCUAACACAUGCAAGUCGAGCGAUUUACUUCUGUAAAGAGCGGCGGACGGGUGAGUAACGCGUGGGUAACCUGCCCUGUACACACGGAUAACAUACCGAAAGGUAUGCUAAUACGAGAUAAUAUACUUUUAUCGCAUGGUAGAAGUAUCAAAGCUUUUGCGGUACAGGAUGGACCCGCGUCUGAUUAGCUAGUUGGUAAGGUAACGGCUUACCAAGGCGACGAUCAGUAGCCGACCUGAGAGGGUGAUCGGCCACAUUGGAACUGAGACACGGUCCAAACUCCUACGGGAGCA
rnacentral:rRNA from 1 species